UUUGGGUUUUUUUUGUGGGGUUUAUUUUUACAGGAAACUGCCGGCGACCAUUUACUCAACCUGUGAACAGAGCAGCUAAAAUCACCUGUGAUUAUCCAGGAGACGAUUUCAAGUGCUGGGUCAAGUUUUUCUGCAGAGGGGAGAAUUUCACCUGUAAGGAUAUUUUGUCAACCAAAGGUCCGGAGUUAAACGGGAAAUACAGACUUACAAACACCAAAAAAGGCUUUGACGUGUCCAUCAGGGAUGUUUCCUCACAGGACGCUGGUGUCUACUGGUGUGGAGCGGAAUCAAAGGACGGAAGCUACAAAGCUUCAAUCAGACAAAUAAAACUGGAGGUUGAAGACCCCUCCACUACUUCCUCCACUACAUCCCUGAAUCCUCCAGCUCCAGCCACCAGUUCUACAACCCAGACUCCUCCUGUGACAGGUCCUUGUGAGAAAAUGCUCUUAUUGAUUGAUUAAAAAAAGCCUGUUAGUGUAUUUAUGUGAAUUCUAUUAAACUCACAGUUCUAGCAGACAUUUCUGUGUUUACAGCUGCCAUUGUGGGUUAUUUUUUCUGAUUUUUGUCUUACAGCUGGUUCUCCUUUAACUGUGGUCAUCACUGCGGCUGUCCUCGUUGCUCUCCUGCUACUUGUGGUUAUUGUGGUUUUCACCUACAAAUGUUUGUCAUGGUCAAAACACAGAAAAAAUGGAGAGGCACAGAACAAAGAAGUAUGUAUACUUGUGUGUGUGUGUGUGUGUGUGUGUGUGUGUGUGUGUGUGUGUGUGUGUGUGUGUGUGUGUGUGUGUGUGUGUGUGUGGGGGGGUACUUGUAUGCAGUUACAGAAGUGUGCCUUCAAUUAAAAACAAAAAACAGAAACUUGUGCAUUUCUGCUGAAACCAACCAGUUUAAAAAAAACCCCACAACGUGUUAUCAGGAGAUUGGGGCCUGGGUUUAACCCAGAGGCCCUAAUGUAUGCGAGGUCGUAGUUUUGCUUUAAAAUGAAUGGUAAGUUGAGCAGGACAACAUGUAGCCAUAUGGAACAUUAUCACACAUGUCUGAAAAGGUGAAACGUUUUUCAUCCUGAACUGCAAAAUUCAGGAUUAACCAAGCUUUAAAACUUCUUAGUCCAGAAAGUUACAAACCCCAAAAAUCCUAAACAGUAAAUAUAUCUAAGAACUAAAAUAAAGCACAAUAAUUAAUUAAAAGCAAUAAAUAAUUAAAAGCACAAAUAACAAGGCUAGAAAACGAACCAUUAAAAAACUCGUACAAAUCACCAGGAAAUAAACACAAAGGAAUGAAAACGAUUAACAGCUGUAUGAAUAGAAUAAAUACAUUAUAACAAUAACUUAAUGCAAAGAUAACCAAGAACUCAGAACUAGAUAGUGGCCAAGUAUAUGCGCAAACACAUACAAGGAAUUUGGUUCUGGUUGAUGGUGUCUCUCAAGCAACAAUGUAAAAACACACAAUAAAUGAUAGAAUCCAGACAUUAAAAAUGUCAAAAUCCAGGGACAACACGCACACUAAGCCAGCCUAUGUCACUCUUUUUGUUAUAAUUAGGAUGUUCAUACUUUGUUGAGGGAAGCUUCUGGAUUUUUUUCUUUUGUUUCUAACUCCUUAUAAACAAAGAAAUAUAGCAUCACACCAUAGCCAGGCUGCUCGCUGAAUAAUCACAUAAAAACAUUAAAUUACUGACAUCCUUUGCAAGUCCUGUCAGUGUAACGUCUUUAGCAGAAACAAGGUGGAGCUACAUGACAGGACAAGAGCUGAAGAGCAGCAGAUGAGCCAGGUUUCAAUCACAGCUCAAUCACAAUUCCUUAUAAAUCGUCAAACCUGAUCAACAGAACAAAGCAAUCAACUAACACCAUAAAGACUCCUGUUUAACUAUUUAUUUCUAGAGUUAUUGCUUAUUUAAUGUGAAUCAGCUGAUAAAGAUAUGUUUCAUCUAGGACAUUAAACUUUAAGGUACUUCUCUACAGUUCUUCAGCAACAUACGGUACUCUCUCCUAGAGAGAAAUGACCCAUUUCCAGAUCAACCCUGGCAUCCAUGGAACAACGCUGAUAGAAUAACUGAAGUGCAGCUGCACCAGUUGUUGUGGCUGCUGUGAUUUGAGGCUAUUUACUCACAGGAAGUGGCAUUAACUGCACUCACUGCUGGCUUUCAGCAAGCCGCAGAAAACAAAAUAGGCGGAGUUUCAAAACAUUUAUCAGGUUGUCAGUUUGUUUUCUGUGUAAAAACUGUUUUCCUGUGUAGUUCAGUAAAAGUUCAUAACCAGUCUAAAUCAGGUUUACACACACGGCAUUUAACAGGACGGUGUGUGCACUUUAGUGAAAACCUGUUUGCAAGAAACUCAAAUAUAAAAUCAAGUUUUCAUACACGUUGCGGUCUGUGGCUGCUGCUGGUUAUGUUUACAAUGCUGCCCUGAGCUGGAUUUGCACCUGCGCAGUAAUUAGCAGGUUUUAGUGAUAGAGAGCAAUUCCAUUUUUUAAGGUGUGUAGUACAUGUACUGCUUACUAUUAAGAUUGGACAUAAACCUUUUUUGUGUUUGUCAUUCUUUAGCAUCAUAUCUAUGACGCAAUACAAGAGUCUUCCCAGAAGUCCGUCACAAGACCUGCGAUAAAAACAGUUUAUGCCACCGCCAACUUCCCCACAAACCCAUCUGUCUUCAUGCAUGAGUUUAAAGUCGACGUUAAAAACAUGUCUGGUGAGGCUGACUCUGAUACAGAUUUUAAUCUGUGGAAAGCAGGCCAGCGUGAUACGAAGUCUACAGCCAAUCAUCCAUCCAGAGUUUCCAUUGACCCUUUCUACUCUCGAUUGUUGCCAUGCGACUGCAGCACUGAGGAAGGUUAAGUCCUGACUGCUCCUCUGUUUACUGCUUACUUUCUCACGUGGGGGCAGGUAUGUUUGAAUAGCUAUUAAAAUUUGAUGAUCUGGGAAAUUUAAAGCAUGUGGGGUCCUUUCCUUGAUGCAUUUCAAAAUGUAUAAGAAUUUUUCAGGUGCUUUCACCUCAUGUCAGGUGUAGAAAUACAGUGUACAGAUCUAGGGCAGUGACCUGGAUGGGAAUGAAUGGGAUUAUUUUGCCGGGCCUAAAUGUUAUUCAUGUUUAUAUUUUUUUCUUUAUUUCACUUUUAAUUUUUUUUUUUUUACAGCCUUAAGUGUGUGGGCCUAUUACCCCGAAUGUACAACUCAUCUGUAAUCCUUCUCUUCUCUUUUUGUUUAUAUGUAUGAAGGAAAUAUUCUUAAUAAAAAGACAUUUCAAAUGUUGAACUGAAAAUGUAAGAUGGGAAAAAUAUGCAAAAAAAUUAAAAGAAUAGAAAAAAAAUCAGAAAGGUGGCAGAAUACUUUUUCACAGCACUACAUAUUAAAAAAUUCAAGCCUAUUAUAGGCCGGGAAAGGGAAGACAUGGCGUGUUUGCCACCCACAGGGGGGCAAACACUUAUCUGGACAAGCCUAACAGAGCAGGCAUCUGCCCCCCACUGUUGAUCCAAUCCAGCAAAUUUAUUUACAGAUAUUAGAGCUGCACCAGGAACCUUUUUAUGCUAUUUUUAAAAUUAUUAUUAAAUAAAUAAAUACAUUUGUUACUUCCCAAAUGUGCACUUUUACUUGUCUGUUCUAACUUUUUUACCUUUGUUUUUGUUUUUUGUGCUUGUUCAUCAUGACAUCAGGUUCAGUUGAUGCUACUUUCAGCUGCUCCUUUGUUACAAAGGGUUUCCAAAGUAGGUUGCCAUUUUUUUUAUCCCCAUCAUGACGCAACCCCCAUGGGAUGUGUCUCCUCCCAGGAUGGAACGGUUCAUAUUUUUAAGCAAUUCUUCUUCUUCAUCAUAUUAAUGAUUUUACCUUUUUAUUUUGUUCUUUUCUUUCUCAGUUACAGUUUGUGUUGUAGUUGAUUUGGAAAAUUUAAACAAGCUUCUGAU
rnacentral:lncRNA from 1 species